UACACACCGCCCGUCACACCAUGGGAGCGGAUUCUGCCAGAAGUAGUUAGCCUAACCGCAAGGAGGGCGAUUACCACGGCAGGGUUCGUGACUGGGGUG
rnacentral:rRNA from 1 species